rfam:Peniophora sp. CONT PENSPscaffold_75_Cont125, whole genome shotgun sequence.
GGGCGUGUAGCACAGUGGUAGCGCGCAUGCUUAGCACCGUAUCUGGUACAUAUAUGCAUGAGGUCUUGGGUUCAAUCCCCAACUCGUCCA